AGUGAAACGGUGAAAAUAAAUAUGCCUUGAAAAAAGGAAACCUACUCCACCCAGUCAAUCUUCCAACGGCUGAAACCCAUUAAUUGCUCUUGACAUUUCUUAUCAGCUUUCCCAUCUGUUCUCUCCUUUUGACGAUAGCGUUUCCCAAGGUUUUCAUUGUUUGCUAUCUCUUUGUAGACAUAAGUUCUCUUCCAGUCUUCUUAGUCUAGAUUUCUAGUCCAUUGUUCCUCUGCUCUCUUAUCACGCUGAAUCGGCUCCUCGUUCUCCAGGUGAUUUCUCUCGCUAUUCUGUAGUGCUUCCUUUGCAAUAUAUGGGCUUUAGUGUUCUCUAUUUUCUGUAUAUGUUUAAACUCAAUCUUCUGAAAAUAUGGUUUCUUGCUCUGGAUAUCUCUGAUAAUGGCUCCAAUGUUUGAGUAAUCUAUUGUAGAUGAUUAACCUUUCUUGAUUACUAUUAGAGAAUCGCCCAGUAUUUGGAUUUCCUGAAAACCCAUUUCGAUUCCUAACUUAAUUGCUUCUAAUCCUGCAAAUGCUUCCGCUGCAAACGGAGAAGCAACAUUACGAUGAAUAAUCGAUUUCGUGGUCAAAACUUCGUUCAUCGGACCCCUAACUACCAACCCCGAUGUUGAUCUGAACUCUCUGUUGUUAAACGCGGCGUCGAACUGGAUCUUCAUAAUCGAUACGUCUUCCCCAUUUCUUUGAUUGUGCCUCGUAUGUGAUGAAGUCAUUUUAACUUUAAUCCCUUUGUAUUCUGCCACACGAUCCUGAAUUUUCUGUGCGAGGUCUCUGUUCGUUGUGUGGACCCGUUCAUGCAACAGUUGGUUCCUUGAAUGCCACAGUAUCCAUAAGCCAUAACAAAAAUACCUGCAUUGUUCGUUUGUUCCUUGGUUGAAGAUCAGGGUGAGCCACUCCCAGAAAUCUUGAUGCGCAAAAGUUGUGAUCCAUGAUAAAUUUAAAAGUUGCCAGACCUCUAUUCUUGUGGAACAUUGCCAAAAAAUAUGAUGACAAUCUUCAUUUUCAUCACUGCACUGGGGACAUCUGGCAUUAGUCACUAACCUUCUAUGUCGUAAAUUGCUCAAUGUAGGAAUGUAAUUCCAUGAUAUGUGCCAGAUUAUGAUUGUAAUCUUAGGUGGUAAUUGUAGUUUCCAUAGUUUACUAAAAAAUUCCUUAGCUUCGGCCUGUAACAAAUAAUAACUAGAAUCCAGAUUAGCAAUUUGUAAUAGUUUAUAGGCAUUAUGGACUAAGUAUUCCCCUGUUAGUUCGCCCCUCCAGACUUGGAAGUCCUCGUGGGCUGAUUCUGAUAAUGGAAUCUGUAAGAUUUUGUGAGCUGCCUCCGGGUAAAAGGCCUUGUUGAAGGAGCCCCUUAGCUGCCCAAAUACUCUUACAGGUAUCGAACACCAAUCUAAAUAAUCCUUAAUUCAAGCAGUGACUAAAGGCUGAUUUGUGAAGAAAGAUUUGCAAAAAGACGAAAGAAUGCCAGAAAACAAAAGACAAGAAACAAGAAAACCUAGAUACUCAUGCCAGCGGCGGCAGGCUUUGACUUGCUAGGGUAGCAGACUUUUUUGUAAUAUUUUUUAGAUUUAUACAUAUUUAAAUAUGUUUAUAUUAAAAAAUUAUUUUUAAUUGUUUUUAUAGAUUUUCUAAUAGUUUUUAGUCUAA